rfam:Azoarcus sp. CIB, complete genome.
AACAUAAAUCGGCACUCCCGCACGAAAGGCGGGGUCGCAAAGCUUCCGGUCUACAACCUUUUCGAGGUCACGAUAGCGGGGUUGCCGGG